rnacentral:rRNA from 1 species
UACGGAGGGGACUAGCGUUGUUCGGAAUUACUGGGCGUAAAGCGCACGUAGGCGGAUUUGUAAGUCAGGGGUGAAAUCCCGGGGCUCAACCUCGGAACUGCCUUUGAUACUGCAAAUCUUGAGUCCGGAAGAGGUGAGUGGAAUUCCUAGUGUAGAGGUGAAAUUCGUAGAUAUUAGGAAGAACACCAGUGGCGAAGGCGGCUUACUGGUCCGGUUCUGACGCUGAGGCGCGAAAGCGUGGGGAGCAAACAGG